AUGUUCAGGAAGGAAUGGGCCCCUGGAAAGAUCAAAAUGAUCUCCUGGUUGCUGCACCAGAAUAGGCUGUGGUGCAACGACAGGUUGCAAAGGAGGGGCUGGCCAAAUGGAUCCUUGUGUGGUUUGUGCUUGUGCAAUUUAGAAACAUCUUUUGACCUGUUUUGGGAAUUUGGAUUGGCAUGCGAGGUUUGGAGUGAGGCGGCCAAAUGGCACGGCUGCGCCGCCUUGAAGACGGAACGGUGGGCUCAUGCCCACAACACUUCUGCGGUGGUGAAAUCAAUCAUCAACGGGAAGGCAAAUGAAGAAAAAAGAGGAAUUAUAUCAAUGGUCAUGCUGAUUUGUUGGGAGCUUUGGCAAGAGCGAAAUGAGGCCAUUUUCAGAAACAAACACCCAACCUCAGGAAGCAUCAUCAGCGCCAUAAGAAAAACCCUAGACCAAUGA
rnacentral:rRNA from 1 species